UGUAAACGCUCGCAGAUUGAAUGACGAAAUAAAAGAAGAAACUACAGCACAGUCAAUUUUCUCCAUGACAGCCUGAGAGAUGUAGCUGGUGCUGCCACUUUUCCUUCAUUUUUCCCUGCCUUGAAUAUGGUGGUGAUGCCUGGAGCUUCAGCAGCCAUCUUAUGGCCAUGAAAUGGCAAGCAUGAGAAUGAAAGAAAAUGCACUCAUCAUGAAAGGAGGAAGAGCAGAAGAAAUCUGGGUCACUGGUGAUAUCAAUGGAUAGCUGAAGCAGUGCUGCUCUGGAUGGAAAAUGCCCUGGGUUCUCCGAGACUUAACACCCCGCCUUGUGAACGCGAGCAAGAUUAUUCUCUCUGAGCAGCUCUUUUCACAUGUGAUAAGCUUGGCAAGUUGCCCUGGAUUGAAUUCUCACCCACUGUCUUCACCCAACCCAGCAGAGAAGAAGGCUUGUGACUGUGUAAGGUGAAAAUGGAUAUACCAUUUCUGGGAAGAGAAAAGAAGCCAAUUAAAAGUGGGGCAUGUCAUUACACUGACCAGAAAUGAACGUACCUUUUUAGAAAUAAAGAAUCUGUAUAUUCCUGUGGCUCUGA
rnacentral:lncRNA from 1 species